rnacentral:lncRNA from 1 species
GGCUCUAAGCUUGUGUGGGGGAAUGGGUAGGAUGGUCACUUGAGUAACCCAGAGAUAAAUCUAGACACUCCACCCAACACAUGAGAAAUCCACAGGUCCUCAAAAGCCAACCAGAACCCCUUCUCUAAAGUUCUCAGUCCUGCAGGCACUCUAACAGGUUCCAGUCAGUGGAACUUCUCUGGCCUUUUCACCUGCAUAGCUGCCUGCGGAUUUUUGAAAACGCAGAGCAACCUCUUUGUAUGAGUCACCUUUCAUCUCCACUUCCUCCACCCUCACCUCUUUCUGUUCUCAAGGAACUAUCAGCUAACUACUGACAGCAAGCAUUUUCUUUAAGCAAUUCAGUUGCUUGGAGGAACUAUGUUAGUCAAGUUUCAGGCCAUCUCACUACUCAGACAAUAUGAAGGAAUUUAUGAUUUAAGGCUUUUUUUUUUUAAUUCAUGAUGAUGAUGAUGAUUUAUCAUUGAGUGUCUCUCUGUGUGUACUCAAGUGUGGGGGUCAGAAGACAUCUUUUAGGAGUCAUUUGGUCCUCCUACCUUGUGGAGGCAGGGUCUCUAGUGUCAUUUCUGCUAUGCUAUGUACUAUAGGUAACUGUUCCACAAGGUUUUCAGAAAUUCUGCCCCCUCCCCCCCAAUGUCAACUAGGAAUUCUGGUAUUACACAUGCACAUCACUAUAUUUGUCUUUUUUUUUUCUUUUAAUGUGGGUAACAGAACACAGGCUGUCAGGCUGGCAUUUUAUCCAUUGAGCCAUCUCACUAGCCCUGAUUUGGUACAGGGUCUCAUGUAUCCCAUGCUGGCUUUGAACUCACUUUGUAGCCAGGGACUGCCUUAAAUUCCUGAUCAUCCCCCCUUACCUGUCAAGUGCUGGGAUUCCAGGCCUGUGUCACCACGACUGGUUUUAUAUGAUGCUGAAGACUGAACCUUGGGUCGCCUUGUGUGUGCUAGCUUAGACUGUCUUGAUCUGGGAAGAGGAAAAAGAAAAUGGUUCUGGAAAUCUGGGAAUGGGCUUCAGUCAGACUCUGACAGUAGCGAGCUGCUUCAGUGGCUAUUCAUCCGGACCAAGAGCCUAUGGCAACCAAGAAUGUGCUUUUUCCA